rnacentral:tRNA from 1 species
GCCUCGGUGGUCUAGCGGUUAGAACGCUGGCCUUGUAAUCCUGGGGUCUCGGGUUCGAUUCCCGGCAGUGCCC